GAUCUCAAUGAAGCAAGACUACCCGCUGAACUUAAGCAUAUUAUUAAGCGGAGGAAAAGAAACUAACAAGGAUGCCCUCAGUAACGGCGAGUGAAGCGGGCGAAGCUCAACCUGAAAAUCGGAUAUCCAAGCGGGUGUUCGAAUUGUGGGCUAGGGACGCGUGAUCAGUGUGUGACCUAGGUAUAAAUCUUUUGAAACAAGGUAUCACAGAGGGUGAGAAUCCCGUCUUUGACCUAGAGUUUUCGCCACGUAC
rnacentral:rRNA from 1 species